rnacentral:lncRNA from 1 species
UGAUGUUGGUGUUGUUGGCGUUGGUGUUGGUAUUGGUAUUCAAGGUGCUGGUAUUGGUAGUGUUGGUGGUGUUAUUAUUGGUGGUUUUUAUACUGGUGGUGUUGGCAUUGGUGUUGGUGUUGGUGGUGAUGCUGGUUGUGUUCGUGGUGGUGUUGGUAUUGGUGGUGAUGUUUGUAGUGUUGGUGGUGUUGGUGUUGGUAUUGGUGUUGGUGUUGGUUUUGGUGUUGGUGUUGGUGUUGGUGUUGUGUUGGUAUUGGUGUUGGUGUUGAUGGUGGUUGUGUUAGUGGUAUUAUUGGUACUGGUAUUGAUGGUGGUGGUGGUGUUGGU